rnacentral:rRNA from 1 species
AUUGAACGCUAGCGGGAUGCCUUACACAUGCAAGUCGAACGGCAGCACGGACUUCGGUCUGGUGGCGAGUGGCGAACGGGUGAGUAAUGUAUCGGAACGUGCCUAGUAGCGGGGGAUAACUACGCGAAAGCGUAGCUAAUACCGCAUACGCCCUACGGGGGAAAGCAGGGGAUCGCAAGACCUUGCACUAUUAGAGCGGCCGAUAUCGGAUUAGCUAGUUGGUGGGGUAACGGCUCACCAAGGCGACGAUCCGUAGCUGGUUUGAGAGGACGACCAGCCACACUGGGACUGAGACACGGCCCAGACUCCUACGGGAGGCAGCAGUGGGGAAUUUUGGACAAUGGGGGAAACCCUGAUCCAGUCAUCCCGCGUGUGCGAUGAAGGCCUUCGGGUUGUAAAGCACUUUUGGCAGGAAAGAAACGUCAUGGGUUAAUACCCCGUGAAACUGACGGUACCUGCAGAAUAAGCACCGGCUAACUACGUGCCAGCAGCCGCGGUAAUACGUAGGGUGCAAGCGUUAAUCGGAAUUACUGGGCGUAAAGCGUGCGCAGGCGGUUCGGAAAGAAAGAUGUGAAAUCCCAGAGCUUAACUUUGGAACUGCAUUUUUAACUACCGAGCUAGAGUGUGUCAGAGGGAGGUGGAAUUCCGCGUGUAGCAGUGAAAUGCGUAGAUAUGCGGAGGAACACCGAUGGCGAAGGCAGCCUCCUGGGAUAACACUGACGCUCAUGCACGAAAGCGUGGGGAGCAAACAGG